rnacentral:rRNA from 1 species
CACCGCGGUUAUACGAGUGGCCCAAGUUGACAGACACUCGGCGUAAAACGUGGCUAGGCUAAACACUCAAACUAAAGCCAAACACCUCCAACGCUGUGAUACGCAAUCGGAGGCAGGAAGCCCCACCACGAAAGUGGCUUUACCUGAGCUGAACCCACGAAAGCUAGGGAA